rnacentral:rRNA from 1 species
GUGGGGAAUAUUGCACAAUGGGCGCAAGCCUGAUGCAGCCAUGCCGCGUGUAUGAAGAAGGCCUUCGGGUUGUAAAGUACUUUCAGCGAGGAGGAAGGCAUUAAGGUUAAUAACCUUGGUGAUUGACGUUACUCGCAGAAGAAGCACCGGCUAACUCCGUGCCAGCAGCCGCGGUAAUACGGAGGGUGCAAGCGUUAAUCGGAAUUACUGGGCGUAAAGCGCACGCAGGCGGUCUGUUAAGUCAGAUGUGAAAUCCCCGGGCUCAACCUGGGAACUGCAUUUGAAACUGGCAGGCUUGAGUCUUGUAGAGGGGGGUAGAAUUCCAGGUGUAGCGGUGAAAUGCGUAGAGAUCUGGAGGAAUACCGGUGGCGAAGGCGGCCCCCUGGACAAAGACUGACGCUCAGGUGCGAAAGCGUGGGGAGCAAACAGGAUUAGAAACCCUUGUAGUCC